CUGAGAAGCUUCCCAAAGUGAACUUAUUCCCCUUGGUAGGUGUCAGCUACGUGAAUGGAUUAACAAGGAACAUAAUCACCUGGAUGUGCUAAUACAUCGGAUAAUGAACUAUACUGAUUUUCACAUUUAUGGCUAUUGUUCAUUUCUUCCUAUGUCAAGUGUGUGGAAUUGAAAAACAGAUUUCAAAUAGAGCGGAUUGAGCUCAAGCCUCCUAGGACAAAAGAAUCUCAGCCUGUGACUGCUCAGUGCCUUGCAUCAAUGUCUUGAUCCACUGGGCCAGUUUCCACCCACACCAGAACCAUUCCUGGAGGUAGUGACCUGGAACAAAAAUAGAUUUAUGAAAUGGAAGGAUGACAUCUCGAUUAGCAUAUUCUUAUUCCCAAAAGCCUAGAAGAAAUAAAGGAAGUCUACCUCAGG